CAAUAUAAACAAAGCUGUUUGUGAGGACCAGCGCUGGGAACGCACGCAGUGAGCAGGCCUCUCCUGUGAGGACAGAGCUGAUUGGGUCCGCGGAGCAAACUAACAGGAAAUGGAUGCUGUCUUCCCACUUCCGGUGCAAACAAGCCCUGAGAAGCGUCUCACCUAAGGAGAUGGUGAUUAAAAAAAAAGUCAACAUGGAUUUGGAAUCCAGAGGAUGUCAGUAAUGCUGAUGCAGAUCGGACUGAAAUACUUUGAUCGUCUUCUGACAGAAAGGAUAUUCCAUACAAAAAAGAUGGAUUCUCAGAUUCCGUUUUUUGCUUCAUUAUUGUUUGUGGCUUGUUUUCUCUGAGCAAUAAAUGGGUACAUACA